rnacentral:tmRNA from 1 species
GGGCUGAUUCUGGAUUCGACGGGAUUUGCGAAACCCAAGGUGCAUGCCGAGGGGCGGUUGGCCUCGUAAAAAGCCGCAAAAAAUAGUCGCAAACGACGAAAACUACGCUUUAGCAGCUUAAUAACCUGCUUAGAGCCCUCUCUCCCUAGCCUCCGCUCUUAGGACGGGGAUCAAGAGAGGUCAAACCCAAAAGAGAUCGCGUGGAAGCCCUGCCUGGGGUUGAAGCGUUAAAACUUAAUCAGGCUAGUUUGUUAGUGGCGUGUCCGUCCGCAGCUGGCAAGCGAAUGUAAAGACUGACUAAGCAUGUAGUACCGAGGAUGUAGGAAUUUCGGACGCGGGUUCAACUCCCGCCAGCUCCACCA